rnacentral:rRNA from 1 species
GGAGUUUGGACCGUGUCUCAGUUCCAAUGUGGGGGACCUUCCUCUCAGAACCCCUACUGAUCGUCGCCUUGGUGGGCCGUUACCCCGCCAACAAGCUAAUCAGACGCAUCCCCAUCCAUUACCGUUGAAAACUUUGGUCUCGCUUAGAUGUCUGCACGAGACCGCAUCAGGGAUUAAUCCAGUUUUCACUGGGCUAUACCUGAGUAAUGGGCAGGUUGGAUACGCGUUACUCACCCUUUCGCCGGUCGCCGCCAAAGUAUUGCUACUCCGCGCUGCCCCUCGACUUGCAUGUGUUAAGCCUGCCGCCUAGCGUUCAUC